rnacentral:rRNA from 1 species
ACCCCAAACCGACACAGGUGGUCAGGUAGAGAAUACCAAGGCGCUUGAGAGAACUCGGGUGAAGGAACUAGGCAAAAUGGUGCCGUAACUUCGGGAGAAGGCACGCUGAUAUGUAGGUGAAGUCCCUCGCGGAUGGAGCUGAAAUCAGUCGAAGAUACCAGCUGGCUGCAACUGUUUAUUAAAAACACAGCACUGUGCAAACACGAAAGUGGACGUAUACGGUGUGACGCCUGCCCGGU